ACUGCUUCAUAAACUAUCAAAACUGAUAUGAUAAUCUAACAUGUUAGAAUAAAUGGAUGUCAAGUGGAUUAAGUACAUCACAAUGAAAUCAAAAUGAUACUUUAAACAAAAAGAGGAAAAAAUAGGUGUGUAAAAUAGAAUAAUGAAAGAAAAUGAAAUAAUUGUAUACCUUUAAGUGCCAAAAAAAAAGACAGAAGUCCUAUCGGAGAGUUUGCUUCUCAAUGCUUCUCUUAUAAUUUAGACGUUUGGAUCAAUACCGGUUGUGUGACAGCGACGCUGGCGGUGAAAGGCGAUGCCGGGCGGUGCGGCACGCUGGGGGAAUAAGAGCGGUUUUCGCUCCCCGUGACAGAUGAAUAAUCACGAAUCGCAUUAUGCCCUUCAUUACUGGGAAAACACAGACCGGCCUGGGCAGAGUGCUUUUAAACAGAGGCUUCAAUUAUCCAAUGUAUGUGCUUGUAAAGCUGAGAGGAGAUGCGAGAUGGAGGAGGAUCAAGAGAGGGUCUAGGGAUGACUAUAGGGGUUCUCCCUGGUAUGUCAGCAUCUCCAUCAACAAGAUUAAUCCCCACAUCACCGGGAUCAGACAGAAACCCAACAAAAUAUGUCCCCGGAAGUGUGAUGGUGCUUGUAAGCAUGCAGUUAUGUUGUAAGUGAGCAACCAGGAAACUGACGGCGUUAAUUACUCUCUGAGGGACUUGGUAGUGAGGAUGAAUGCCUUACAAAAGGGCACAAGCACAUUGACUGGGUUUUGAACCCGGGACCUCCCUGUUACAAGACCACUGCUCUACCACUGAGCCAUAGCAUCUCAAAAUGCAUAGUUUAGCAAAGGUAGUGGAAUAUACAGAUCUAUGACUGAAAGUCGUCAGCUGAAAACCAGAAGUGUGUUAUUAACCUCUAUAACAAAAUGUAAGGUUGUUGUUUUU